AGAAGCCACCCGCGUUGGCUGCUUAUUUGUUUGCUAUGGAUUUCACAAGCCAUCUUGAAAGCUUUUGUAGCAAUGAGGAAAAAGGAAUAAGCAGAACAAUGUCAGAGGAGGACCACUAAUGGUGGUGGUCAAUAAUGCCUAAAGUGGACACUGGACUAAGAGGCUUUAUUCGAAUUGCAAUAUGUCGUUAUCAAGGGUAGAGGUGGUGUAUAGCUGAAUGGACGAAUGUCUUGUACAGACCAAAAAAGAAGCAUGAAGAUCUAUAAAGGCGAGGUGGGUAAGAAAAAAGUUGGGUCUAUCCAAAUUAUCUUUUUACUGUUGGUUGAUUCUUUUUGACAAUAUAUUGUUAAUUAGUGGCUUUGAACCCGUGAUUGUAAUUGCUAAUCCAGGCAAUUAAAUUAACCUUCUUGUAAUCAUU